rnacentral:rRNA from 1 species
GCUUAAUACAUGCAAGUCGAGCGGACCGACGGGAGCUUGCUCCCUUAGGUCAGCGGCGGACGGGUGAGUAACACGUGGGUAACCUGCCUGUAAGACUGGGAUAACUCCGGGAAACCGGGGCUAAUACCGGAUGCUUGAUUGAACCGCAUGGUUCAAUCAUAAAAGGUGGCUUUUAGCUACCACUUACAGAUGGACCCGCGGCGCAUUAGCUAGUUGGUGAGGUAACGGCUCACCAAGGCGACGAUGCGUAGCCGACCUGAGAGGGUGAUCGGCCACACUGGGACUGAGACACGGCCCAGACUCCUACGGGAGGCAGCAGUAGGGAAUCUUCCGCAAUGGACGAAAGUCUGACGGAGCAACGCCGCGUGAGUGAUGAAGGUUUUCGGAUCGUAAAACUCUGUUGUUAGGGAAGAACAAGUACCGUUCGAAUAGGGCGGUACCUUGACGGUACCUAACCAGAAAGCCACGGCUAACUACGUGCCAGCAGCCGCGGUAAUACGUAGGUGGCAAGCGUUGUCCGGAAUUAUUGGGCGUAAAGCGCGCGCAGGCGGUUUCUUAAGUCUGAUGUGAAAGCCCCCGGCUCAACCGGGGAGGGUCAUUGGAAACUGGGGAACUUGAGUGCAGAAGAGGAGAGUGGAAUUCCACGU